CUUGGCAGCCCUAAAGUGUUAAAUAACCUUAAAAAUUUUUUUAAUGUAAAUUUAAAUUAUUUUACAUAAAUCAAUGUUUCAAUAUGUUAGUUUAUUAUGGUAAAAUGUUAAAAUUAUUACAAAUGUAUUAUAAACAUGAAAUCAACCUGAAGAUCUCCUCAGUUAAAAGUGUGUGUUUUUCUGCUGGAGUUCUGCACAGAGAGACCAGGGGCCUGUAUUCGGGAGCGGCGUGUGGAUUUAGCGAGGUAACUUCAGGUUUAUGUCGUAGCCACCGUGACGUCACCCGUUACUUGAUGGCUUUUUGGCCGUCGCCAUCUUUGUUUUUUUGCAUCCAGACGUGACCAUACUUGGACAAGAGGGUGGAGCUAGCUAGCGCCACCCUCUUGUCCAAAUAUGCUUGGUUAGCAUGGUGCAUCCGUCAUUUACGUUAAUGUGAUAUUAGCUGGGAUGCUAAUUUUGGCUAGCGAGAAACGGGCUUAAAACAGAACGUACUUUCCAGAAAAAUGAACAUUCGACUCCUUAGAGAGUCUUUUAGCACAACCGAACGCUGAUAAAGAUGUUUUUUAGGACCAAAAUGUUCCCGUUAACGUUCAUAAAGUGUAAACGGACUGAGACAGCGCAGCGGAUACGAGUUUCUUCUAUCCUGAUUGACAGGUCGGAGCAACUCGUCAAUCACAAAGUAGCAUCGGUAACUGAACCUGCUCCAGAUCAGGUUCUGUUCAAGUCAGACAGCAACACUAUGAAAGCCACGCCCACUGUUUAAAUAAUGACAUCACCAUCUGUAGAUCGCGACUAUCUGAGCUCCUUUUAUGGUUGAAGGGAUUUUUGGUUUUGUUGUUUUAUGAAGUUAAGACGAGACGCUGCAGGUGAAUGUGAUUUCUCACAUUAAGACAAUAAGUUUUAUGUUUCAAUAUGCAAAUGAUGGCAUUAUCUAAUGAAAUAUGCGCUGAUUUGCAUGUAUUUCACAAACUGAAAUCUGAACUCUGGAUAAAGUCAGGUUCAAAAUUAUUGUUUGAUUUUGUUGACACAUUAGACUCAAAUGUUUUUACUGAGAGGAGUUUGACUUUCUCUUUUUAUUAUUUCAUAAAUCAGAAAAUACAGUCAACAGACAUAAAACUAAAUUUUCAAUCUCAAACUGAUUACUGAGGAACAGCACGUGUCAAAGCACGCCACGUGACGCAUCUAAGCCAGUCACGUUGUCAGAAAUCGACGCUAGCCAGUCAGUUUAAAAGCUUAAAUCCGCCUCUGCGCCUGUGAGGCUUUUAAUGUGAAACGCUGACAUGGUCAAACGUCACAACGCGUUGAUUUAAUGAAACACGUGAUCACAUGUCAUCAGCUGGUCACGCACCUGGAGAGUUUCUGACUUCCUGCUGCAGCUGGAUCAGGUGUCACCUGCUUCCUGUCUGUCUCAUUAUUUAAUAUAACUUUAAUCUGUUUGUAGAACAUGUUUCGUAGCACAGGUAGCACAGGUCAAGUGUUUGGAGAGAAAACAAAAUGAUUCUCUUGUAGGCCACGAAUUCUGUGUGAGCUCAGGUCCUGUGGGCGGGUCCUCUGGGCUCAGGUGUGGUGACAGACAGGUGUUGUGGGCGGGUCCUGUGGGCUCAGGUCCUGUGGGCAGGUCCUCUGGGCUCAGGUGUGGUGACAGACAGGUCCUGUGGGCGGGUCCUGUGGGCUCAGGUGCUGUGGGCAGGUCCUCUGGGCUCAGGUGUGGUGACAGACAGGUGUUGUGGGCGGGUCCUGUGGGCUCAGGUGCUGUGGGCAGGUCCUCUGGGCUCAGGUGUGGUGACAGACAGGUGUUGUGGGCGGGUCCUGUGGGCAGGUCCUCUGGGCUCAGGUGUGGUGACAGACAGGUCCUGUGGGCGGGUCCUGUGGGCUCAGGUGCUGUGGGCAGGUCCUCUGGGCUCAGGUGUGGUGACAGACAGGUGUUGUGGGCGGGUCCUGUGGGCUCAGGU